GAAGUCUUCCAGGAGGAGGUGACCUGUGAAAGAAAGGAAAGUUGUGUUGAGUGAAGAGAAGUGAAAAGGCCUGAACAAAGAAUGUGAAGCAUCUCUGGGGAGAAAACUGGAUUGGGAAAAGAAGGCCUAGGAGAAGAUUUGAACCAAAAGGAAGAGAAGCACAAGACAAGAGGCCAUGAAAAAGCAAGCCACGCAUUGUGAACCAGGCCCUGUACUGCUCAAGGAAGGUGGGGGAGUGGAAUGAAAGUGAGUGAGAUGCUACUUCUGUUCUCCAGGACCUCACAGUCAACUUGCAGGAAGUGCUGCAGGGAGAUGGCUGUAGUGGCUUUGGGAAUGUGCACACUUUUCCAACAGAAAGAACCAGGAAUGCUGCAUGGGGAAGGCUUCCUGGAGGAGGUGAGGUGGAGCUGGUCCACGAAAAUUGAGUGGGAUUUCCAAGACAUCAGUCUUUUGCGGGAAAAGAGAAAUUAGGGCAUGGUUUUAAUUUAGUAAAUAUUUAUUAAUCAAGUACCCCCUUCUAGGGUCUGUGCUAAGUGUCAGGGGUUGGUAGAGCCAGGAAGCAUAAAAUCAACUUAAGACACUUGGGAAAGAUCUCCCUUUGUAUUAAGGAAGUUAAAUCUGUAUACAAUGAAAAGAAACAAGGCAAAAGGCGCGAAGUCCAUGACCAUGACGAGGGCUGUGAGAAUUGUAAAUAGGGAAUUUGGGCGGUCCUGGCUGAUUCUGAAUGAAAGUCCGGAGGGGCGUUGCUUUCGGGUCUCGACCUGCGUGUCCCCAGCCCUUGGUUGUCCCCUCCGCAGGGAGGUGAAGGCUGUUUAUGUAAUCGGCGGCGCCUCGCGGGCGACUGGGGGAACUGGCUGGGGGAGCCUGGCCAGGGCUGACUGCGCGCCCCUGGAAUCCGCGCUCCGGGCGUUGGCUCGUUCCCGCCCCGACACCUGGGCCCGCCCUCCCGCUGCGCAGCCGCCCGCCGGGCAGCAGGGUGGUCGGGCGGGCGACUCCCCACGCCUCCUGCAACACCGCCUUCUCCCUACUGGAGCGAGGCGGCUGGAAAAGCCUAGAGACUCCUUGUCCCAUCCGCCUCCCCAGUCCCCAGCCGGGCUAAAGGGAGGAAGAGGAAGGAAUCCACAAUCAUCCCAAACAACGGCGCAAAUCGUGGGUUUUACUGUCCAGAGUCAUGAGGAGACAUCAGCGUGUACCAGAGAAGGAGAAGCCAGAGAUGACAGUCCCUGCCUGAGGCCAUCUCUGGUCCACCAGACAACUUAGCACCGACUUCCCAACAGCCACUGCUCCGGGCCAG
ensembl:lncRNA